CUAAGAAUUCUUCAAACU
rnacentral:sRNA from 1 species